GACGAACGCUGGCGGCGUGCUUAACACAUGCAAGUCGAACGGAAAGGCCCGGCUUUUGUGGGGUGCUCGAGUGGCGAACGGGUGAGUAACACGUGAGUAACCUGCCCUUGACUGUGGGAUAACUUCAGGAAACUGGGGCUAAUACCGGAUAGGAGCUCCUGCUGCAUGGUGGGGGUUGGAGAGUGUCGGCGGUUGGGGAUGGACUCGCGGCUUAUCAGCUUGUUGGUGAGGUAGUGGCUUACCAAGGCUUUGACGGGUAGCCGGCCUGAGAGGGUGACCGGCCACAAGGGGACUAAGGGACGGCGCAGACUCCUACGGGACGCAGCAGUGGAGAAUAUUACACAAUAAGCGGGAGCCAGAUACAGCGACGCCGCGUGCGGAAUAACGGCCUACUGGUUAUAAACCGCUUUCGCCGGUGACGAAGCGAGAGUGACGGUAAUGAGUAAAAAAGCACCGGCUAACUACGUG
rnacentral:rRNA from 1 species